UUAUACACGGAAGACACGAAGAUCCAAACAAUAAUGUCGAAUCUAUUUUGUCUUCAGAAAAUAGUGUAGACUAGUAAUGAGGUAAAUCCACGACUCGAGUUGAAGCACGUGGCUCGGUUGAUACUGUAUUGGUGGAGGCUAGUUUAAGAUUACUGAUCUUAAAAGGAGAGCGCACCUGGAUCGACUGAUACUUAUUUGCAUCUCCAUACUUCGACCCAGGUGGUUGAUCUACGUUGCACCGCUUAGAUUACUUGCUUUAAGAGCAGAGUGGCGCAGUGGAAGCGUGCUGGGCCCAUAACCCAGAGGUCCGUGGAUCGAAACCACGCUCUGCUAAAAGAAAGUGAUUGGGUAAUUUGCAAUGCAAAAAGGGAGAAAAGUGUGUCCUAAAGUCCCGUAAGCUCAAGACAUAACUGGUGAGCAAUGAUAUGCACAAUGGAUGGAUGACAUUCCUCUGUUAUUGUCCGUAAAGAAAAGAUAAGACAACGAGUUCAGGAGUUCACCAGAGUUCACGGACAUAAAUUUGAUUCAUUCAGAGCUACCAAUGACAUGACUUUGAAGCUGCUUCCAUGCUAAAAUAGAAAAAGUUUUGGCAGUUUCUUCGUGCAACGGUGUGGGUGAGUGACAUUAAAAGUUGAUUUCAUUGCAUGUUUAAAUGCUACUAUUAAA